rnacentral:rRNA from 1 species
CCAGGGAUUGCCUCAGUAACGGCGAGUGAAGCGGCAACAGCUCAAAUUUGAAAUCUGGCUCUUUCAGGGUCCGAGUUGUAAUUUGUAGAGGAUGUUUCGGGUGUGGCUCCGGUCUAAGUUCCUUGGAACAGGACGUCAUAGAGGGUGAGAAUCCCGUAUGUGACUGGUAGCCUAUGCUCAUGUGAAACUCCUUCGACGAGUCGAGUUGUUUGGGAAUGCAGCUCAAAAUGGGUGGUAAAUUUCAUCUAAAGCUAAAUAUUGGCCAGAGACCGAUAGCGCACAAGUAGAGUGAUCGAAAGAUGAAAAGCACUUUGGAAAGAGAGUUAAACAGUACGUGAAAUUGUUGAAAGGGAAGCGCUUGCAACCAGACUUGCAUGUAGCUGAUCAACCGGUGUUCUCACCGGUGCACUCAGUUGCGUUCAGGCCAGCAUCGGUUUCGACGGUUGGAUAAAGGCCUUGGGAAUGUAGCUUCUUUCGGGGAGUGUUAUAGCCCAGGGUGCAAUGCAGCCUGUCGGGACCGAGGACCGCGCUUCGGCUAGGAUGCUGGCGUAAUGGUUGUAAGCGACCCGUCUUGAAACACGGACCAAGGAGUCUAACAUCUAUGCGAGUGUUUGGGUGUCAAACCCAUACGCGUAAUGAAAGUGAACGGAGGUGAGAACCCUUAAGGGUGCAUCAUCGACCGAUCCUGAUGUCUUCGGAUGGAUUUGAGUAAGAGCAUAGCUGUUGGGACCCGAAAGAUGGUGAACUAUGCCUGAAUAGGGUGAAGCCAGAGGAAACUCUGGUGGAGGCUCGCAGCGGUUCUGACGUGCAAAUCGAUCGUCAAAUUUGGGUAUAGGGGCGAAAGACUAAUCGAACCAUCUAGUAGCUGGUUCCUGCCGAAGUUUCCCUCAGGAA